rnacentral:rRNA from 1 species
UUUGAAGAAUGAGCCUGCGAGUUAGUGUUACGUCGCGAGGUUAACCCGUGUGGGGCAGCCGUAGCGAAAGCGAGUCUGAAUAGGGCGUUGCAGUGGCGUGAUCUAGACCCGAAGCGAAGUGAUCUACCCAUGGCCAGGUUGAAGCGACGGUAAGACGUCGUGGAGGACCGAACCCACUUCAGUUGAAAAUGGAGGGGAUGAGCUGUGGGUAGGGGUGAAAGGCCAAUCAAACUUCGUGAUAGCUGGUUCUCCCCGAAAUGCAUUUAGGUGCAGCGUUGCGUGUUUCUUGCUGGAGGUAGAGCUACUGGAUGGCUAAUGGGCCCUACAAGGUUACUGACGUCAGCCAAACUCCGAAUGCCGGUAAGUGAGAGCGCAGCAGUGAGACUGUGGGGGAUAAGCUUCAUAGUCGAGAGGGAAACAGCCCAGACCACCAACUAAGGCCCCUAAGCGUGUGCUAAGUGGGAAAGGAUGUGGAGUUGC